rnacentral:rRNA from 1 species
UACGUAGGGUGCGAGCGUUGUCCGGAAUUAUUGGGCGUAAAGAGCUCGUAGGCGGCUUGUCGCGUCGGAUGUGAAAGCCCGGGGCUUAACCCCGGGCCUGCAGUGGGUACGGGCAGACUAGAGUGCGGUAGGGGAGACUGGAAUUCCUGGUGUAGCGGUGAAAUGCGCAGAUAUCAGGAGGAACACCGGUGGCGAAGGCGGGUCUCUGGGCCGUAACUGACGCUGAGACGCGAAAGCGUGGGGAGCAAACAGG